UACAGGGGGGGCAAGCGUUGUUCGGAAUUACUGGGCGUAAAGGGCUCGUAGGUGGCCGACUAAGUCAGACGUGAAAUCCCUCAGCUUAACUGGGGAACUGCGUCUGAUACUGGGAGGCUUGAGUGCGGGAGAGGGAUGUGGAAUUCCAGGUGUAGCGGUGAAAUGCGUAGAUAUCUGGAGGAACACCGGUGGCGAAGGCGGCAUCCUGGACCGACACUGACGCUGAGGCGCGAAAGCUAGGGGAGCAAACGGG
rnacentral:rRNA from 1 species